CUUUGCGUCAUGCUCACUAGCUUUCUCGAGAUGUGUGGGUGUCCCUGAUAGGGGUUAGAGUGUGAAGGUUGUUCCCAUGGGUUUGGGCCUGACUGGUGUAUCCUUUUUCUCUGCCUCUGUGGCUAUGUGGGGUGCACCCUUCGUAGUGUUUCCCCGUGUGUUGUGCUUCCCUCCCCCUGUUUCCAGUAGCGUGUGGCUGUUCGGUGGGUGG